AGCGAACGCUGGCGGCAGGCCUAACACAUGCAAGUCGAACGAACCUUUCGGGGUUAGUGGCGGACUGGUGAGUAACACGUGGGAACGUGCCUUUAGGUUCGGAAUAACUCAGGGAAACUUGUUCUAAUACCGAAUGUGCCCUUCGGGGGAAAGAUUAAUCGCCUUUAGAGCGGCCCGCGUCUGAUUAGCUAGUUGGUUGAGGUAAUGGCUCACCAAGGCGACGAUCAGUAGCUGGUCUGAGAGGAUGAUCAGCCACAUUGGGACUGAGACACGGCCCAAACUCCUACGGGAGGCAGCAGUGGGGAAUCUUGCGCAAUGGGCGAAAGCCUGACGCAGCCAUGCCGCGUGAAUGAUGAAGGUCUUAGGAUUGUAAAAUUCUUUCACCGGGGACGAUAAUGACGGUACCCGGAGAAGAAGCCCCGGCUAACUUCGUG
rnacentral:rRNA from 1 species